rnacentral:other from 1 species
GCAGUGUUUAAUACACAUGUCGACAGGGAGUUGGCAGGAACAGGAAAAAGCCUAACGGAUUAGGUAUCUUCAGGAUGAAGAUUUGGUGACUUAGGAUGAGUUAUCAGCAAGGAAGUUAUGCUCUAGGAUAGAGUCGCUUAUCAGGAUGAUGAGUUGGCAAGGACACCGCUAGGACGGCGAUGAAUUGGAUAGGUUAAAGGAUUUAGCCACGUCAAGGAACGAUGCAGGGAGCACCAGUUACCUAUUGAAAGAUAAGUAACGCGCAGUAGCAGGAUGGCUACGAAAAGAAUAGACCCCGUUUGGUGAAAGCCAAACGGGGUUUCCUUUUU